rnacentral:snoRNA from 1 species
AAGGAUCUACUUUCAAGGAUCAUUUCUGUAGUUCAUUGCUAGAGAGCUCUCUCUGAAUGCUUAGAGCAUCGAGAAGGGGCAUGACAUUCCCUCCUGAGCAUGAAGCCAGCUCCUGGCAUGGCUUGGUGGCAACCAUCAUUCUCCAUUGAUGACCAUUCUUGUUUUACUCCUGGGGAACAGGAGGGAAAGGACAUAUUCUGA